CAUAUUCAAGGCAUUCACAUUUUCAACUGAUUUCAAAGAUAAACCACCAGCAGGGGGCGAAAGAGUGUAUGCAUUGUGGAACCCAUCAUUAGCUUGUGUUUCCCUGGGGGAACAUAUAUACUGGUGCACCUUUGUGAUAGCAGGUGGUGAAAUGUUUGGUGAAAAAGCAUUUCACUGGAAGUCCUUCAUGGAAGAGGAGACUCUCUUUCAUACACAUUCAGCUCAUUUAGGAUCCUGGAGACUCAACCGUAUUUUCACGGCCGGAUAAAAAAAACGUACCCGAUUUAAACUGGUUACUACUCUUACCCAAAAACGAGAAUAUGCAUAUAAUUAGUAGAUUUGGAUAGAAAACAAUCUGAAGUUUCUAAAACUGUUUGAAUGGUGUCUGUGAGUAUAACAGAACUCAUAUGGCAGUCAAAACCCUGAGACAAAUCCUAACAGGAAGUGGAAAUCUGAUUUGUGGAAUCACUUUCAACACUUUGCCUAUGAAACGCACCGUGAGUUAGGAUUCAUUUAGCACUUCCUAAGGCUUCCACUAGAUGUCAACAGUCUUUACAAAGUGGUUUGAGUCUUCUCCGGUAAAAUCUGACCGAACGAGAGGCCUGGAAAGUUUGUCAUAGAGGGAGGGCCAAUACUACUAUGAUGCGCGUGCCCAUGUGUACUCUUUCGUUCCGAAACGUUUAGUAAGACAAUGCAAUCGUCCGCCUUGAAUAUUAUUAAAGUUCUGAUUGAAAAAGGCCCUAAAGAUUUAUAUUAUACAACGUUUGACAUGUUUGAACGAACGUAAAUACAUUUUUUUUUGCACAUUCGCGAGGACAAGUCCCACGCGCUUCGUACAUUAUGAGUAGCCUUCGGAACGCGCUAACAAGAAGGAGCUAUUGGGACAUAAAUUAUUAACUUUUUCAAACAAAACUACAUUUGUUGUGGACCUGGGAUUCCUGGAAGUGCCUUCUGAUGAAGAUAAUCAAAGGUAAGUGAAUAUUUACCAUAGUAUAUUUGAUUUUAGAUGACUCCAAGAUGGCGCUAACCUGUAUCGCCUAGCCUAUUUUUCUG
rnacentral:lncRNA from 1 species